rnacentral:lncRNA from 1 species
UUUUUUAAAUUCUAUUUUUCCUAUAACUUCCUAAGCCAUUAUACAACAUUAAAUUAAAUUAAGUAACAUGAAACAACAUUAAACAAUAUGAAACAACAUUAAAUAACAUUAACCAACAUAAAAAUUAUACAAUAUGAAACUUAAACAACAUUUUAGUUGUAAUUUUUAAAUAAUAAAUUAUGUUUGUCCCUAUGACCCUUUGGCCCUAGGUUGGAGACGGUUUUUUGUGAUAGGGCUAAAACGAGCCCUUUGGCCCUUUGGCCUUCGGUUGGAGACGGAGACAAAUAUGACCAUGUACUGUUCAUUAAAAUAUUAAUAUCUUGGAGAAUCUUGGAGGGCCAGAGGGUUAAAACGAGCCAUCUGGCCAGCCCUCGGUUAGAGAUGGCCUUAUUCCUCGCCUGAUUCUCUUUGUGAGAAUCUUCAAAUCACAUCUGUUCAUCGUAUAUCUUGCGAUUAUAAAUCAUUAUAAUUUUUUUUAUUUAAAAUUGAAUAUAAACAGUACUUAACGAAAACUGGCUGCAUAAUGUAUGAUAAACGAAUAUAAUUAAAGGAUUUCUAAGAUCUUUACAAAGAAGAUUCGGCGAGAAUCCCCUCUCCU